CCAGACUCCUACGGGAGGCAGCAGUGAGGAAUAUUGGUCAAUGGGCGCGAGCCUGAACCAGCCAAGUCGCGUGAGGGAUGACGGCCCUACGGGUUGUAAACCUCUUUUGUCAGGGAGCAAGGAGCGCCACGAGUGGUGCGGCGAGAGUACCUGAAGAAAAAGCAUCGGCUAACUCCGUGCCAGCAGCCGCGGUAAUACGGAGGGUGCGAGCGUUAAUCGGAAUUACUGGGCGUAAAGCGCUCGUAGGCGGUAUGUCAAGUCAAGGGUGAAAUCCCCGCGCUCAACGUGGGAACUGCCUUUGAAACUGGCAAACUGGGGUGUGUGAGAGGAUAGUGGAAUUCCAGGUGUAGGAGUGAAAUCCGUAGAUAUCUGGAGGAACAUCAGUGGCGAAGGCGACUAUCUGGCACAUAACUGACGCUGAGGAGCGAAAGCGUGGGUAGCAAACAGGAUUAGAUACCCGCGUAC
rnacentral:rRNA from 1 species